UACGUAGGUGGCAAGCGUUAUCCGGAUUUAUUGGGCGUAAAGAGAACGCAGGCGGUCUUUUAAGUCUGAUGUGAAAGCCUUCGGCUUAACCGGAGUAGUGCAUUGGAAACUGGUAGACUUGAGUGCAGGAGAGGAGAGUGGAAUUCCAUGUGUAGCGGUGAAAUGCGUAGAUAUAUGGAGGAACACCGGUGGCGAAAGCGGCUCUCUGGCCUGUAACUGACACUGAGGCUCGAAAGCGUGGGGAGCAAACAGG
rnacentral:rRNA from 1 species